rnacentral:pre_miRNA from 1 species
AGCUUCUGUAUCCGUGCUGAGAUUUCGUCACACACCAGACCCACAAGGGCUGAUGAGACUCCCAAGUGAAGCU